AAGAGAUAAGUGCUGAAAGCAUCUAAGCACGAAACUUGCCCCGAGAUGAGUUCUCCCUGAGACUAUAAGUCUCCUGAAGGAACGUUGAAGACGACGACGUUGAUAGGCCGGAUGUGUAAGCGCAGCGAUGCGUUGAGCUAACCGGUACUAAUGAACCGUGAGGCUUAACCUU
rnacentral:rRNA from 1 species